GUAAUGCAGUCAGUCAUUCCAAACUUUCAAUGAUCCAUACGAGUACUAUUCCUGCCCAUUUGACUGAAAAAAAAUAGUAACAACACAGUCAUCAGAAGCUAAUACACUUAAAUUCCUGCCUUCAGCACUUCAUUUCCUUCCGUCUCAGUCAAAGACUUUCUUUUGCCCAAGGCAAAGGACUGUCACUCUCCCUUUAGGUACUCUCUCAUUCUGCCUCCACAGAAUAUCCUCUAACAGCUCCUUUCUCUUUACCAUCCAUAACAUCUCCCUGUCUCUUCAUUCCGGAGAUAAAAAUACCUAAAUCUGUAUCUUUAAAAAACAAAGCAAAAAAUCCACAAUCCUCCUUACAACCCUAUGACUUCUGUUAACUAUCCUGUCUUUCCCUUCUCUCACAUGAAAAGAAAGAGUAGUCUGUAUUUGCCAGGUUCACUUUCAAAGUGUCCAUCCAUCAUCCAUGCAACUAGAAGACGACUUCCCGUCCCACCACCUUCCCAUAUCAACGGCAUCCUAAUAGCCAGAGCCCCUUCUCCCAGGAUUUUACCCUCAGCAGAAUCAAGCAUGCUUGAGGGCCCCUCCCGUGUGAAUUGUGAAUCUUCCUCCUCGCUGGCCUGUGCUCUGUCCAGGUUGGCCUCCUCCUUCCUCUCUCCUUCUGCUCGGUCAGCGGCUUUAGGUCCCAGGAGGAAAGGAGACCAGGAGCUCGGAGGAGCGAAGAGAACCUGCCCCGACUCAACACACGCAAAUGGAGGGGGCAGUCCCGCAGCAUGAGGGAACUGCUCCGUCCUCUGGAAGAACAGAUACCAGGGCGUCUAGACGCAUGAAGGACGCGCAGAAGGGAAGACUAAGCGCACACCGAGCAGUACCCCACGCUGCCAGGUCUCAGCGCACCACGGUUUCUUCCCGCGCCUUUAGGCGGGACGGCCUUGCACAUGGCGCAUGCGCGGGCGAAUGGUGGCGGGCGGCGCCUGCGCAACAGGCAGCACGCGCCGACCCCGUGGCGCAUGUAAAAGGGGGUGCCAGUGCAAGAGCUGCCGUACACGCUCCGGUGGCAUAGGUUAGACGGGCGUGGCUUGGUGUGUGUCGCUGUAGACCUUCCCAGUUGCAGGCGUCGAACUAGAGCAGAUCGGGACGCAGAACGCGGAACAGGAUCGUGUGGGGUGAGCGGGAAUGCUCACCCUGGCUUUCGGGGGAGGUUUCAGAAAUGAAAGUCUAUAUUCUCCAUAUUCAGUGGUGCUCAGUGAAUAUCCUGGCUUCCAGGUACCUCAGUCGUCGUUGCCCAUGACACUUGACCGAAGACUUGUAUUCCCUAUGUUUUAUAACCCAGCAUAAUUGCGGCACUAUAGUGGCUAUGGGAAAAAAAUGAAAACAAAAGAGAAUGAAACUGAAUUUCAGCAGGCCGAAAAUAUGAGUAAAAAACAAGGCAUCCAGUCAGAGGGCAACUGUCGUGACAUAGGUAGGGUGACGAUUAUCCCUAAUACUAAUAUUGACAUAGAAACUGGGAACAUUCCUGAAAAAACAGAUGGGGCUGUGUCUUCUGUUGCCCAGAAGGGGGAGCUCCAUAAGAGCACUUCUAAUAACACUCGUAGAAACACACCUCAUGGGAACUUUGCAUCUGAGAAAGAGAAAAUAGGGAUAGAACAG
ensembl:lncRNA